rnacentral:lncRNA from 1 species
GCGCCAUCCAGCAUCGUUGAUAAUGUAAUUUGAUGUGUAUUGUCUGAAAGCACCAAGACGGCAGAGUUUCUCUCUUAUCCAGAUCACAGUGUGUGCUCAGUAAACACUAGACUGAGGGGGUGUAUGAGAGGUCUUUUUUUCCUCUCUCCUUCCUCAGGAAUGGGUGAAGAUGAAGUCCUGUAAGGCAGGAGCUGGAUCAAAGAAAUAUCCCGGGUCUUGU